GGCGCGGGGCGGGCAGGAGCAUCAGGUUAGGUUGCGCAGGAGGAGGGGGAACUGGUGCUGGAGAGACAGGGAGAGGGGCGAACCGGCCCCCCACAGCCACUGCAGUUACCAGAAAUCUUCCGCCUCUGCUGUAUGGACCUUACUGGCACCAACCCCGGCAGUAUGAGCAGGAGUUCCACCAUCUUCCUCUGAAGACGUAGCCAUCUUGCUCCAUGAAGGUCAGGACAAUCUGACAUGCACUUGUUUCUUGCCUCUAUACUUGAAGAGUAGUCCUCUUACAUUGUGUACAUU
rnacentral:ncRNA from 2 species